rnacentral:rRNA from 1 species
UACAUGGGGUGCAAACGUUGCUCGGAAUCAUUGGGCGUAAAGCGCGCGUAGGCGGUUACUUAAGUCGAAUGUGAAAGCCCUCGGCUUAACUGAGGAAGUGCAUCCGAAACUGAGUAGCUAGAGUACGAAAGAGGGUCGCGGAAUUCCCGGUGUAGAGGUGAAAUUCGUAGAUAUCUGGAGGAACACCGAUGGCGAAGGCAGGUCUCUGGGCAUUAACUGACGCUGAGGAGCGAAAGCAUGGGGAGCGAACAGG